GGUGAACGCUGGCGGCGUGCCUAAUACAUGCAAGUCGAGCGAACGGACGAGAAGCUUGCUUCUCUGAUGUUAGCGGCGGACGGGCGAGUAACACGUGGAUAACCUACCUAUAAGACUGGGAUAACUUCGGGAAACCGGAGCUAAUACCGGAUAAUAUUUUGAACCGCAUGGUUCAAAAGUGAAAGACGGUCUUGCUGUCACUUAUAGAUGGAUCCGCGCUGCAUUAGCUAGUUGGUAAGGUAACGGCUUACCAAGGCAACGAUGCAUAGCCGACCUGAGAGGGUGAUCGGCCACACUGGAACUGAGACACGGUCCAGACUCCUACGGGAGGCAGCAGUAGGGAAUCUUCCGCAAUGGGCGAAAGCCUGACGGAGCAACGCCGCGUGAGUGAUGAAGGUCUUCGGAUCGUAAAACUCUGUUAUUAGGGAAGAACAUAUGUGUAAGUAACUGUGCACAUCUUGACGGUACCUAAUCAGAAAGCCACGGCUAACUACGUG
rnacentral:rRNA from 1 species